rnacentral:rRNA from 1 species
AACGAACGCUGGCGGCAUGCCUAACACAUGCAAGUCGAACGAGACCUUCGGGUCUAGUGGCGCACGGGUGCGUAACGCGUGGGAACCUGCCCUUAGGUUCGGAAUAACUCCCCGAAAGGGGUGCUAAUACCGGAUAAUGUCUUCGGACCAAAGAUUUAUCGCCUUUGGAAGGGCCCGCGUUGGAUUAGCUAGUUGGUAGGGUAAAAGCCUACCAAGGCGACGAUCCAUAGCUGGUCUGAGAGGAUGAUCAGCCACACUGGGACUGAGACACGGCCCAGACUCCUACGGGAGGCAGCAGUGGGGAAUAUUGGACAAUGGGAGAAAGCCUGAUCCAGCAAUGCCGCGUGAGUGAUGAAGGCCUUAGGGUUGUAAAGCUCUUUUACCCGGGAUGAUAAUGACAGUACCGGGAGAAUAAGCUCCGGCUAACUCCGUG